ACCCUACAGCCUGUUCUGCUGCUGCUGAGCCCAAAGUUUUCGAAAGUUUCCUAGAGGUGACGCAGUUUAACUCUUUCCUGGCGAAGGUCUGGGCCUUGGAAGCUUUCUGCUGAUCCUCAGCGUCCACAGUCGUAGAGGACUCGCCUCUGACUCGCCUGCGUGAGACGAUCUGUAGACAGCGAAUUCCUAGCAGUGGCUGUCAUCUCCUGAGGUCUCCCGCUGGCGUGGAUGACCCCGGGAUCAGCGGUUGCCCUGCCCUCGAGAGUAAAAAGAGAAGCCCAGGAGCGUAACACACUGACAAACUCAGACAGUUGUCAGAGAACAAAAACCGAGCAUGGUGGUGCAAGCCUGUAAUACCGGCACUUUGGAGGAUGGACAUGGUGGGUUCAAAGCCGCCUUGAACUACACAGUGAGACCCUGUCUCAAAAAGCCCAAUGAGCCACCUUCCCAGUGAGGCCUGUCCUGUCCAGCUGCAGACACCAGUGUGGCACUCAUCUUUGCUCCAUUUGGACAUGAUUUCUUCAUCCUGCUUUCCAAUUAACUGGCUUAUGUUGUUGCCAGAAUCCUCCUGCAGUCCAUUAUCAUCUGUUUCAUGCAGCAUUCAACUUCCAGGGGUCAGCUGUGUGCUGGAACUUAGUAGGGUCUCAUUAAAUAUUGGCUCUUUAGGACAGAUAUUAUGUGUCCUGGCCAGGGUCCACAGGUGGGAGGCUGCAGCACCCAAACUCAAAGCCUGGGGCAUCUACCCAAGGCCCAGGGUUGCCAGCCAGAUGCACCUCUCACCCUCAGGGCUGGGCAAUGGCUUGGUGGGCUGCAAAGUGCGAUUACUUGGAACAGAAAUCAGGACAGAACUUGCAAAGCUGCAUUAGUGUAGCUGCUCUCUGAUCAAUUAUGCUUGCUCCAGUAAAAACAAAUGCAGGCUGAGUAAGGAGAAAGAGACUUUCUUCCAGAGGAUUACUGAGAGGAGGCAGGGAAGAAGGACCAUGGCAGUGCGGGGAGCCCUCUGACCACAUGAGCUGUGACAUCUCCAUGUUUAUACACAAAGUUUUUCUUUCAUACAGAGGGGUAAAGAAAGCUAGAAAGAAACUGCUGUGUGGUGGAAGAGGGGGGAAUAUUGCCCCCAGGGCCAGUCUGUUCUCAGGAAGGGCCAGCUGCUGCCUCUGGCAGGAGGGACCCAUAUUUAUUCAAAGCCCUGCAGGAGGCAGAGAAGUUUACUUAAAGUUUGGUCAACAAGAAUUGUGUUCCAGCUGAUCCCUGGGGAGAAGCAGUUCAGCUCAUGGUGUAUGACGUGAAGAAAGGAAUUCGAAGGGCCUGACUGUGGUCCUGUAAUUCUCAUGGAGGUGGGGAGACAUCUGUGAGUCUCCUUUAAGUCAAUAUGGAAAAGGGAGGAGGUCUUUACAUUGGUCAUUUUCUAGCACAUGCUCAACGAAGCAGUUUCUUAAUCUUCUCUGUUUUCCAGGAGCGCGGGUCUUGUUCCAGGUGAGAUGGAAGUAGAAAACAUCAAUGGGGUUUCUGUGAAAGCUCUUAGAACAGGGGUGUCUGGAAAAGCUUUCUUAACCUUUUCUCCUGUUGCCUGGAAUAAAGAUGUGAUGGUAAAA